CGGAGGUUUGACAGGUGUACUUCGUUGCCUCAUCAGCUGGAGGACUAUGUGAGGGUGGUUCCUGGCUCUUCUACACCUGAGUGUUUUGCCUACUGUGGCUGUUCAAGCCAAGCCGCUGAGCUGGGUGUCUCCCUCUGGGACUCACCCCCCGUCAAGAUUGGAUUCUGCUGCGCCUGGCAGCCACCCUUGCAAGUCCUCCAGUCUGGAAGCGCAACCUGUCCACCCACCUUGCUACCUGGAACAUCAGAGCGCUCCAGCAGGUUCUGCGCAGGCUCACGCCCCAGACUUGUACCCGUCUCUCCCCCUGGCGGAUCGAUCGCCUCCUGAAUACCUGACUCCUGACCACUCUGCUCGCCUUGUUCCUGAGACUGAGAAAUAAAACUUUAAAUCUACGCUUCUCUGUCUGAGUGUCCUCUGCAUGUGGGUCAAGUCGGCCUUAAAAACCAUGACAGUUUAUGUUGUCUCUUAAGUCUGUUUUCAUUAUCAGACAUCUACAGCUGCUGUAGCUUCAUGCUGUAACUGCAGAUGUAUCUGUUAUUUAAGUCACUAUAUAUGUAUAACAGAACAAACUUUAUAUAUAUGCAGAAUGAAUAAAGCUUUAACUCCAGUGAGGACCAUA